UACGAAGGGUGCAAGCGUUACUCGGAAUUACUGGGCGUAAAGCGUGCGUAGGUGGUGGUUUAAGUCCGUUGUGAAAGCCCUGGGCUCAACCUGGGAACUGCAGUGGAUACUGGAUCACUAGAGUGUGGCAGAGGGUAGUGGAAUUCCCGGUGUAGCAGUGAAAUGCGUAGAGAUCGGGAGGAACAUCAGUGGCGAAGGCGACUGCCUGGGCCAACACUGACACUGAGGCACGAAAGCGUGGGGAGCAAACAGG
rnacentral:rRNA from 2 species